AGACCCGAAACCCGGUGAUCUAGCCAUGGGCAGGUUGAAGGUUGGGUAACACUAACUGGAGGACCGAACCGACUAAUGUUGAAAAAUUAGCGGAUGACCUGUGGCUGGGGGUGAAAGGCCAAUCAAACCGGGAGAUAGCUGGUUCUCCCCGAAAGCUAUUUAGGUAGCGCCUCGUGAAUUCAUCUCCGGGGGUAGAGCACUGUUUCGGCUAGGGGGCCAUCCCGGCUUACCAACCCGAUGCAAACUGCGAAUACCGGAGAAUGUUAUCACGGGAGACACACGGCGGGUGCUAACGUCCGUCGUGAAGAGGGAAACAACCCAGACCGCCAGCUAAGGUCCCAAAGUCAUGGUUAAGUGGGAAACGAUGUGGGAAGGCCCAGACAGCCAGGAUGUUGGCUUAGAAGCAGCCAUCAUUUAAAGAAAGCGUAAUAGCUCACUGGUCGAGUCGGCCUGCGCGGAAGAUGUAACGGGGCUAAACCAUGCACCGAAGCUGCGGCAGCGACACUGUGUGUUGUUGGGUAGGGGAGCGUUCUGUAAGCCUGUGAAGGUGGCCUGUGAGGGUUGCUGGAGGUAUCAGAAGUGCGAAUGCUGACAUAAGUAACGAUAAAGCGGGUGAAAAGCCCGCUCGCCGGAAGACCAAGGGUUCCUGUCCAACGUUAAUCGGGGCAGGGUGAGUCGACCCCUAAGGCGAGGCCGAAAGGCGUAGUCGAUGGGAAACGGGUUAAUAUUCCCGUACUUGGUGUUACUGCGAAGGGGGGACGGAGAAGGCUAUGUUGGCCGGGCGACGGUUGUCCCGGUUUAAGCGUGUAGGUGUGUGUUCCAGGUAAAUCCGGUUCACUUUAACACUGAGGCGUGACGACGAGGCACUACGGUGCUGAAGCAACAAAUGCCCUGCUUCCAGGAAAAGCCUCUAAGCAUCAGGUAACAUCAAAUCGUACCCCAAACCGACACAGGUGGUCAGGUAGAGAAUACCAAGGCGCUUGAGAGAACUCGGGUGAAGGAACUAGGCAA
rnacentral:rRNA from 1 species